AAAUAUGACCACGAGACCGAUAGCGAACAAGUACCGUGAGGGAAAGUUGAAAAGGACUUUGAAGAGAGAGUUCAAUAGUACGUGAAACCGUUAAGAGACAAACGGGUGGAACCUAGAAGGUCGAACCGAGGGGAUUCAGCUCGUCGGCGUCGGCUGGGUGGGCGGUUGGGAAAACCAUGAAAGUGAACUGCAGCCAGGAGACUGUGCUGUGGUCACACCGUCCACUCAUCGCCGGCGUUGGCGGGCGUAUUUCGCCUCGUAGUACGUUGCCGCGACCCGUUGCUCGGGGACGUCGAAGGCCCGGGUGGAUUGGUACCCCGUCGCGAACUGAGCCCCUCACGGGGAUAAUAGUUUUUGGUGCGGCGGGGGAAACCCCCGGUGACAUAUCCUGACGGCCCUGCGACGGUCUCCAUAGCAGAGCUCCCGGUGCAUUCAUGGUCGUCAUACCGUGCUUUGGCGGGAUAUAGGCUCUCGCGGUGUUAUUAUGUCGGAAACCACCCGACCCGUCUUGAAACAGGGACCAAGGANNNNNNNNNNUGUGCAAGUCAUUGGGCGCACUAAACCCACAGGCGAAAUGAAAGUGACAACCACACUGAGGAGUUCUAAGCCACUCCUGGGGCUGAUCCCCGGCCGGCUGCCGGCCUCCUCGGCCCUGGAAGGGGGUUAGGCGGGUGAGCCCCUUUCCCCGUCUCUCCUGACCUUGUGCUCUUGGUUGAUCGUGCGAUGGCCUACGCCUGUCCGCAGGGGGGCGCAAGCCCGGGACUCGCCACCAUGGCUCUCCGCGCUGCCGAGCGCGUGGCACUCCGGUGUCGCGUGGCCCCCGGUGGUGCCGGAGCAGUCGGCGAGUACCUUGAGCAGACAUGUUGGGACCCGAAAGAUGGUGAACUAUGCCUGGCCAGGACGAAGCCAGGGGAAACUCUGGUGGAGGUCCGCUGCGAUUCUGACGUGCAAAUCGAUCGUCUGAGUUGGGUAUAGGGGCGAAAGACUAAUCGAACCAUCUAGUAGCUGGUUCCCUCCGAAGUUUCCCUCAGGAUAGCUGGUACUCGAGUGGAUGAGUUUCAUCCGGUAAAGCGAAUGAUUAGAGGUGUUGGGGAUGAAACGUCCUCAACCUAUUCUCAAACUUUAAAUGGGUGAGAUGCCGAGCUUUCUUAAAACUAAACCUUGAUUCUGAAGCUCUGGCGAUUAAUCUGAGUAUCUAGUGGGCCACUUUUGGUAAGCAGAACUGGCGCUGUGGGAUGAACCAAACGUCGAGUUAAGGGGCCUAAAUGAAUGCUCAUAUAGAUCCCACGAAAGGUGUUGGUUGCUAUAGACAGCAGGACGGUGGCCAUGGAAGUUGGAAUCCGCUAAGGAGUGUGUAACAACUCACCUGCCGAAGCAACUAGCCCUUAAAAUGGUAUGGCGCUAAAGCAUUCUCCCGAUACUCGACCGCCGGGGCACAACAGGCCUCGCCAUGCAGGUCUUGAAGCCCCGGUGAGUAGGAGGGCCGCGGUGGUGAGCGCUGAAGGGUGCGGCGUGAGCCGGCCUGGAGCCGCCACUGGUGCAGAUCUUGGUGGUAGUAGCAAAUAGUCGAGAGAGACUCUACCUGGAAGACCGAUGUGGAGAAGGGUUCCAUGUGAACAUCAGUUGGACAUGGGUUAGUCGCUCCUAAGCCCAAGGCUAAGGCCUUAUCCCAUGUGAGAGGCAAGAUGGUUCGCCUAAGGCGUGUGACAGCCGAACUUUGUUCGUCGGCUGUAUGCUCUGAGGGGAUUGUUUGGGAGCUCUCGUUCCCAUAAUCUAACAACACCCUUGGGAAGCGGGUGCACUGGCUGGGGGACGGGACCUGGGAGUUUCCUUGACUCACACUCCACUCUAAGGGCCCCGUCCCUUCCCAAUUGGCAUUGGGCUGGCCAGCUGUGCCCUGCAUGCCCUGCGAGAAACCCCCCCUCACUUAACGUUCCCCGUGUAAGUCGGGCCGGACUUCCCGUGCCGGUCGCUGCGGUUGGGGCGGCGUCUGCGUGAUGGGGCGCGGACGUUUGGCACUAGCGAACCAUGGCUCCAGCCCGAACCUGAGGCUGUCUCGACAGGCUCAAGGGAGGGACGGGGGCGGGGAACCU
rnacentral:rRNA from 1 species